CGGUAGGUGGAGCCUGGCCCAGAGGAGCCGGUAGGUGGAGCCGGUAGGUGGAGCCUGGCCCAGAGGAGCCGGUAGGUGGAGCCUCAGACCAACGGCACAAAGCUAGAAGAUCGUCAAGUGUCAUUCGUAAAGAUCUCUUCCCCUUCAUCGAUUAAUAUCCCGAGAGGGGCAGUUUGUGACGCGUUCUCCAUCCCAGAUGGGUUUCAGGAGAGCGUGGUAACGAGGCUAGCGCUACAGUCUUCAGGCUGGCGGCGGAUGGCUUCUCUCCAUCUUUGCCAAGAGGCCGUAAUGCAGCUCUGUGAGAUUGCCACUUUAGGAGUAUGUCAGUAUCAGCCGUAAUAUUAAUGGUCAGACAGACACAAAGGGUUUUUAUCUGUAAAUGUCACGCAGUAAUGGGUAUUUCAAGUAAGAUAACGAUAGAAGUUUCCUCUCCUUUUGUGUCCGAGGGCGAUGUUGGAUGGGUGGAUACCGGACUCCCAGAGGACGAGAUUAGAUAGCACAGUGUACGUGCGUGUGCGCUCGCAGGUGUGUGUUGUUCUCAAGAUUUAUCCGUGCUCUUUCUAUUCUGUCAAAGACACAAACGUCAAGGCUAGGAGUCAGAACUGUGGGUACAGACUUUUGGUUUAAUGUGUUCUAAUAAUCUAAUAAUGUUUUAAACAAAUGGCAUACGGAAAAAAAAGACACCGGAGGGACUGCUCGUUCUUUCUUUCUCAGAUAAGCUCAGCUACUAUUGAUCCAUAGGGGGGAUGUGGGUGUUCAAGGCGUUGCCCGCGUAGCUCACAGCGGCAACGGGGCCAGCCUCGAGGCGUCGGGUUAGCAGCAGCUACCAGCAGAACCAGACCAGCUGCGCAUUGAGACCAGAAGACGUGAGGCUUGGCCAGGGCUCCCCUCAUGCUGCUGGGGACACACUGACACGCGUGCCGUGGUCUCCAUUGAUAUGUUCAGGGUCACCACACUGUGAUCCAGCAGCCAGAUCCACACUUUGACAGCACCCUCCCAGGACUGUCCCAAACCAAACGUUGUGUUUCUUCUUUCAGUGCUUGAGGAAACACGUACACACUGUACAUUACAGGCCCCUUCAUACAAGGCCUUUGAAUGUCCCAGCUCUGUUAUGAGCAGUCAGCUGUCAUCCUUGCAUCUGGAUGAGGGCUCUAUAUUAUAUUAUAUUAUUAUUACACUAUAUAAGUCUAGGGAGUGUCCGAGAGUAAUUGAUAGCAAACAUACUUUCUUUCAGUUCUAUCAGAUCAACAACAUCUGCAGCGGUUUGAAAAUAAAUAGUUGUGACACGACAUUAAUAAUAUUAAACAUUGUUACUGGCACGUUCAUUGGAAAAAAUAUCAAAUAUCAAA